AAAUUUUAAUUUAUUAAGACAGCUGUUUAAUUUCAGAAAAUACAACUCUCUGCAUCACAAAAAUAUAGCAUUUUCAAGUGAAUACGCAAGCUGGAUAAAAAUCAGUUACAAAGCCUUGAAAAAGACACUAGAGCAAGACACCAGAGACAGAAGUCCAUACAUCUAGAUGACAGGUUAUGAAUCUGUGAGGCCAGGUAGCUUGUGAUCAUGACACACUUGGUCUAUAUUCCAUGUUUGAAUGUGAUUUUGUGCCCGUGUAAAAGGCAUUUAGCUAAAUACAGUGCUGAUUCUGUAUACUAGGACAUACAAGCAACAAUGACUUCAGCUCAUAAUUCUGCAACGAUAAAAUUAAAACCAUGAUACUGGAUGCACUUAAUAUAAGGUAAUAUAAUGUAAGGUAACCAUAUAUCACAUUAUAUAGCUUUUUGAGUUAAGGUUAGGUUUAGGGGCUGUUCACACAGACCAGGCUUUUGCUUUUAAAAACUACAGGUGCUGCGCAAAAACAUCCAGAUACAGAGGUGCAGCACUGAUAAAUGGAAAAAUCAGAAAAAGGUUUACCAUUUUCAACUUGCACAAGACAAGACACUGAACAGUAGCUAGACAUGAAAUAUAAAUAAACAGUGCAAUGGAACACAAACUUGUUCUGUGUGAACUAGCCCUUAAGCCCAGAGUAUACUUCGUUAUAUUGCAAGUAUAUUAUGUUUGCAGCCAAAAUGAGGACAUUUUCAACCGUGUUACCUGAUUUGCUGCUGUGUUUAAGAGAGGGGUCAGGUAAGGGGCAUCAUUUUCAUUGCAUUAUUUAGAAACACCCACCAGUUUGAAAAUGUUCAAAUUCAUUUUGCAGAGAUCUCACACAACUCUGUGCAUCUGAAAUAGCUGCAAUAGGCAUUACAUUUGAAUUGGAAUUUACUUUGCAACAUUUAAAAAAAAA